rnacentral:rRNA from 1 species
GACGAACGCUGGCGGCGUGCCUAAUACAUGCAAGUCGAACGCAGUGGGGACGGGUGAGUAACACGUGGGUAACCUCCCAUCAGAGGGGAUAACACUUGUAACCAGGUCCUAAACCUCUACUGAUGGAUGGACCCGCGGUGGAUUAGCUAGUUGGUGAGGUAACGGCUCACCAGGGCCACGAGGCAUAGCCCACCUGAGAGGGUGAUCGGCCACUCUGGGACGGAGACACUGCCCAGACGCCUACGGGAGGCAGCAGUAGGGAAUCUUAGGCAAUGGACGAAAGUCUGACCGAGCAACGCCGCGUGAGUGAAGAAGGUUUGCGGAUCGGAAAACUCUGUUGUUAGAGAAGCGGUAUCUAACCAGAAAGCCACGGCUAACUACGUGCCAGCAGCCGCGGUAAUUC